rnacentral:rRNA from 1 species
GACGAACGCUGGCGGCGUGCUUAACACAUGCAAGUCGAACGGAAAGGCCCUGCUUUUGUGGGGUGCUCGAGUGGCGAACGGGUGAGUAACACGUGAGUAACCUGCCCUUGACUUUGGUAUAACUUCAGGAAACUGUGGCUAAUACCGGAUAGGAGCUCCUGCUGCAUGGUGGGCGUUGGAAAGUUUCGGCGGUUGGGGAUGGACUCGCGGCUUAUCAGCUUGUUGGUGGGGUAGUGGCUUACCAAGGCUUUGACGGGUAGCCGGCCUGAGAGGGUGACCGGCCACAUUGGGACUGAGAUACGGCCCAGACUCCUACGGGAGGCAGCAGUGGGGAGUAUUGCACAAUGGGCGGAAGCCUGAUGCAGCAACGCCGCGUGCGGGAUGACGGCCUUCGGGUUGUAAACCGCUUUAGCCUGUGACGAAGCGUGAGUGACGGUAAUGGGUAAAGAAGCACCGGCUAACUACGUG